rnacentral:lncRNA from 1 species
CAGUUCUGGGGUGGUUUCUAAUACUUGCUUAGUUAUUUUACAUUUCGUGUAUGGCUGUUGUCCAGAAUAGUUGGAUUUUGGGGCAUUCCCACCACAUGUGUAGGUAUGUGCCUGUGGAGGUGCACCCUCUCCAGCAUUUUGCUGAGGUUCCUGGGUGUAUUAGCACUAGUCUCCAUUGUUGUUAGGUAAUAUUCUCUAAUGUUUAAUGCAGUUUCUCAUUGAUGGUGGCUCACUGCUGUGCUGCCACAUUUUAAUAACACAUUUUAAUGAUAUACACCAUGAGUGUAGAUCCGCCCCUCUGCAAAAGACAUAAAAAGAUCCGCCCUUAUGCAAAAAGACAUAAAAAUUGUACAUGCAUUCUGCCCUGGAAGAAACCAAGGUUUUGGGGGAGGCAGGAUGCAAAAGAAUUGGGGUCUUUAUUCUAAGAACAAGGUUCCUUGGGAACUUCAUCUUCAAAGAUUCUAGGGCACAAGCAUUUUGACUAGAAGUUUUGAAACUUAUCCUCGUGGAAACACUAUGGUAAGGGAACUCAUGAUUUAAAAAAAAACUCUUAAGCAUAUACUGGAUUGUUUCCAAUUGCCAUACCACCUUUUUCAGGAUUGGAAACCUGUGCCAGAUGUCCUCCAGAGCAAUAUCCAAAUGAAGAGCAGAAUCAGUGCAUUCCCAAGAAACCACACGUCCUAGGCUUUGGGGAAACUUUGGCCAUUGUUUCAACUUUCUCUGCACUUUUAUUCUCUCUAAUCACAGCAAUGGUACUUGGCAUUUUCAUUAAGCACCGGGACACUGCCAUCGUCAAAGCCAACAACAGAAGCCUCACUUACAUUCUCCUUGUGUCCCUUCUCUUGUGUUUCCUCUGCACUUUGAUGUUCAUUGGAACUCCUAAGGAGCCAAUCUGCCUUCUCCGACAAACAAGUUUUGGCAUCGUCUUCUCUGUGGCCCUCUCCAGCAUCUUGGCCAAGACUAUUUCAGUGGUUUUGGCAUUCAUGGCUACCAAGCCAGAUUCCACAAUCAGGAAGUGGGUAGGCAAAAAACUGGCUUACUCCAUCGUCCUUUCCUGCUCUGUGAUUCAAGUCGGAAUCUGUGCCUUCUGGCUGGCAACCUCUGCCCCAUUCCCAGAUGUGGACAUGCACUCAAUGACUGAAGAAAUUAUAUUCUUAUGUAAUGAGGGGUCAGUUCUAAUGUUCUAUGCUGUUUUAGGCUACAUGGGCUUCCUGGCCAUUAUCAGCUUCACUGUGGCCUUCUUAGCCAGGAAGUUGCCGGACAGCUUCAAUGAAGCCAAGUUCAUCACCUUCAGCAUGCUGGUCUUCUGCAGUGUUUGGUUCUCCUUUAUUCCCACAUACUUAAGCACCAGAGGAAAAUACAUGGUGGCUGUGGAGAUCUUCUCCAUCUUGGCUUCCAGUGCUGGGCUGCUGGGUUGCAUCUUUCCCCUAAAUGCUACAUUAUUGUGGUGAGGCCUGAGCUGAAUAACAGAGAGCAGCUGAUACGGAGAAAGACGUAAAUAACAGUAUAGUUUGUCGUUUCUGUAUUUAGACUCUGUAGACUUGUUGGCAUGGUAAUUUCACUGUGUGUUUUUUCAAGAAGGGAAGUUAAAUGAAAUGAUGAAAAUAGCAGAAGAGAAUUGUCUUAUCCAGUGCUUAUUUUAUAAAAAGGAGAGAAAAUGUUUAGUGGUACUCUCAUUUUCCUACUCUGCCCCUUAAUGAGGCCAAACUUAGAUUCACAAAACGUUUAGGGUUAUGCAUCUCCCUGUGUCCCCUCGGGGGGGGGGGAUCACUGGUGUUAUCAUCUAUGUUGUUGAUAUCCAGCAUAGCUGCAUAUGAGCUGCAAAUGAAACGGGAUUAUGUUUAUUUAAGAAACCAUGGAUUAUAUGCAAAAACUUUGAAUGCCUAUACAUUCUGUUUCUCUUCUUCUCCUGCAUCCAAAGAAAUGCCCCCCAAGAGGCCCUGAACCUCUCCUGAGGAGGAGGUGAUGGGGUACAGAGAGAAGAGAUGAAAAGGAACACAAAAAUUUGAGAAGCUGUC